rnacentral:misc_RNA from 1 species
AAACUGGUUUGUGGAAAUCGAAAACCACCAGCCAAAACUGAAUUUCUACUAGUCUGUGACUGGUUGGCUGAGCUCUAAUAUUUGUGAAAGUUCCAUCCUUCUCAGGUUUUUACAAUGAUUACUUUUUCCCGAUAAUUUUCAAAUUCGAUCUUACGCUACCUCUUUGCACUCUUCGUUGCUUUGCGGAGAAAAUUUGAUAUCAGUUUAUUGAUUUUGGUCUCCUACCUAUCCGAGGAACUUUUCUUUUUUCAAAAUAUGUGGCUAAAUAUUUAUUCAGUUUAGAAAUAUAAUCCGCUAAAAUGCUUAGGAUUGAAACUUGGAAAUGAUAGAGAAAACACCCUAUAAUAACUUUCACUUCUUGAUUGCUGUAUGGUAAAUUAAUAUUGUAAGGAGAAGCUACAUUUCCAUCACUUCUUUGACGGCAAGCCAGCUGAUUCACUGAGAAAAAAGAGUUAAAAAGUAAUGUUGCCCUCAGACAAGGAAGAAAACAGCUACUUCCCUAAAAAGUUUAUGGACUCCAACAUUGUCAGUUUUUAUUUUUACCUUUUUCAGGUUUACUUCUUUGUUAAUUCUUUUCCACGGUAACCAGAAAAGAGUUGUAAUGAAUAACGCUGCAGAAAUCCUAAAAUCAGUCCAGAUAGGUUUAGAUGAUGCCAUAUUUCUUCUCAAGACUGAUCGUGGCCCACAUGCGACCCAGUUAUGCAAUGAAUGUGUAAUUCUUCUUAAAAACCUUGACUCUGGUAUUCACCUUGAUAUUUACGAUGUGAUAUUCAAUGCGUACAACGCCAUCUCUGGUUUCAAACGUGCGGAAAGAUAUGCUGAGAAACUUCUUUACACGUUCAUCCACGCUGAAAGACUAACCAUACAACUAGGUGACAAACUUAAAGCACAGGGCCGGUUUGUAGAGGCAAAGCAAUGUUUCAAAAGCGCACUCACAACCAUGCAAACGAUUGGCCACAAAAGAGAAGAAGCAAUGGCUCAUGAACGACUUGGAAAGGUAUGUGAGCGCCUCGCUGAAAUGCAGGAGGCAAAAAUACACAUUGAGAAAGCACUUGCAAUCGCGAUAGAAAUUGGCGACAAACAAGGAGAAGAAAUAAGAUACGGGAACCUCGGAUCUCUGUUGUAUUCCCUUUCCGAAUAUCAGAAGGCUGUAGUAUGUCACGAGAAAGCACUGGCCAUCGCGACAGAAAUUGGCGACAGACCAGGAGAAGGAGCAGUAUACGGGAAACUCGGAAUUGUGUUUUUGUUCCCUUGGAGAAUAUCAGAAAGCUAAAGAAUAUAACGAGAAAGCACUUGUCAUCGCGACAGAAAUUUGCAACAGACAAGGAGAAGGAACAUUAUACGGGAACCUCGGAGCUAUGUUUUGUUCCCUUAGCGAAUAUCAGAAGGCUAAAGAAUAACAAGAGAAAGCACUUGCCAUCGCGAUAGAAAUUCGCGACAGAAAAAAAGAAGGAACAAGUUAUGGGAACCUCGGAACUGUGUUGUAUUCCCUUGGCGAAUACCAAAAGGCUAAAGAAUAUAACGAGAUAGCACUUGCCAUCGCAAUAGAAAUUGGCGACAGAAGAGGAGAAGGAUUAUUAUACGGGAACCUCGGUAUUGUGUUUUGUUCCCUUAGCGAAUAACAGAAGGCUAAAGAAUAUCAAGAGAAAGCACUUGCCAUCGCGAUAGAAAUUCGCGACAGACGAAAAGAAGGAACACUUUAUGGGAACCUCGGAUCUGUGUUGUAUUUCCUUGGCGAAUACCAGAAGGCUAAAGAAUAUCUAGAGCAAGCACUUGCCAUCGCGAUAGAAAUUGGCGUCAGAAAAGGAGAAGGAUUAUUAUACGGGAACCUCGGAACUGGUUUUAUUCACCGUGGAGAAUAUCAGAAAGCUAAAGAAUAUCAAGAGAUAUCACUUGCCAUCGCGAUAGAAAUUGGCGACAAACAAGGAGAUGGAGCUAGGUACGGGAACCUCGGAACAGUGUUUCAUUCCCUAGGCGAAAAUCAGAAGGCUAUAGAAUAUCACGAGAAAUCACUUGCCAUCGCGAAAGAAAUUCGUGACAGACGAAGAGAAGGAACAAGUUAUGGGAACCUCGGAGCUGUGUUUCAUUCCCUUACCGAUUAUCAGAUGGCUAAAGAACAUUACGAGAAAUCGCUUGCCAUCGCGAAAGAAAUUGGCGACAGAAAAGGAGAAGAAACAAGGCACCAGAACCUCGGAGCUGUGGUUGAAUCUUUUGGCGAGUAUCAGAAAGCUAAAGAAUAUCACGAGAGAGCACUUGCCCUCGCGAUAGAAAUUGGCGACAUACAGGGUGAAUGUGCAGCAUACCAUUGUCUUGGAAAUGUUUAUUUUCAUUUCCGAAAAAAUCGGCAAGCUAAAGAAUAUUUGGACAGAGCAGUUGGCAGCAGUAUAGCAAUUGGUGACAGAUUAGGAGAAGCCUGCGUUCUUGUGAGUUUGGCAACUGUAUUUGCUUCUAUGAAUGACAAUCAGAAAGCAAAAGAACAUUGAGAGAAGGCUCUUACCAUCAUCAGAGAAGCUGGCCAUAGAAAUAUCGAAGCACGUGUUUACAUAAACCUUGGCAAUAUAUACCAAUUACUUGGUGAACGUGGCAAGGCAGAAGAUUGUUUAGAGAAAGCUUAGUCCAUAAGCAGCCAAACUGGAGACAAAAUGGCUGAGUUUAAAUGCUUUCUCUUUCUUCCUAAGUUAAAGAUAUCGCAAGGGGAACUUGAGGAGGCAAAGAAAUAUCUUCUACAAAGUUUAGGAAAAUACGAACAAAUGAACACUCUUCUGAAAGAAAGCAGUAAACUUAAAAUGUCUCUUUUCGAGGAACACGGUACUUUUAUCUAUCAGUUACUCAGUUCCUUGCUUUGCCUUAUUGGAAAAUUUCGAGAUGCUCUCUAUCUCGAGGAACUGGGACGAGCACGAGUCCUCGCAGAAUCAAUGGCAGACAAAUACUCCGCGGAAAGCCACAUCUCAGCUGAUCCACAUAAAUGAUUCGGGAUUGAAAAAAUCGUGAAAAGAGAAAGUAACUAUGUUUUUAUGCACAUUUCGUAUGCACAGCGGUACGUUCUUUUUUGGGUAUUGAAAGCAAAUGGAGACACUUGCUUUCGACAAACAGAAGCGAAAGUAAACACUCUUGAUGCUGAGCAAGUUUGCGAUGUGGAAGGAAUUUUCAAAAAGUGCGCCGCUGGCUUUGGCGUUUUACCCACAGCGAACUGCGAAGAUCGAUCUCUGUAUGACGGCGUGACGACAUCUCUUCAUAAAGAGAAUCGAGCAAAUUUGCGAGGUGAACAAAUCAAUGAUACCGAAAGAAUUCAUAAUUUGUGCUACAAAUGGAUUGUCGCGCCUGUGGCAGAUUUACUUACAGAGCCUGAAAUCAUCAUUGUGCCGGAUCGUUUUUCGUAUCGAGUCCCGUUUGCUGCCCUGCGUGAUGAACCGGCCGGAAAGUGUUUAUCGGAGAAGUACAGAAUACGCAUCGUCCCUUCAAUAACGACUCUCCGUGUCAUUGAAGAGAGUCCAGUGGGCUAUCACAGUCAAACUGAUGCACUGGUAGUGGGUAAUCCUACGGUUGGCGAAGUGCAUUACAAUGGACGAGUCAUUAACGUUACACCAUUGUUCUGUGCAAGUAAGGAAGCAGAGAUGGUUGGUCGAUUGAUGGGCGUUCAGCCUUUAACAGGAAGUCACGCAACAAAGCAGGCGGUACUUCGAGAAAUGCCUCUGGUGAGUCUGAUACAUCUUGCCGCACAUGGAAAUGCUAAUAGAGGAGAGAUUACCCUCUCUCCUCAACGUAAUACUAACAGUGCCCAGUGUACUGCUAAAAGUACUCCAAAAGAGGAAGACUACCUCCUGACAAUGUCCGACAUUCAAGGAGUACAAGUGCGAGCUAAACUGGUUGUACUCAGCUGUUGUCUCAGUGGGCGUGGAUUAGUUAAAAAGGAAGGAGUUAUUGGAAUCGCUCGAGCAUUCUUAGCAUCUGGUGCACGUUCAGUGUUGGUAGCAUCGUGGGCUAUAGAAGACGAAGCAACGGCGAAGCUCAUGGAGCAUUUCUAUAAACACCUUGUUCGUGGAGAAAGUGCCAGUGAAUCUCUUCACCAAGCCGUUCAAUGGUUGAGAAGCAAUGGGUUCCCCAAAGCUUCCCAAUGGGCUCCCUUUGUGCUGAUAGGGGAUAACGUGACGUUUAAUUUUGUGAAAAAAGGGAAAGAAGAAAUCAGUGAGGACAACAAAGAGGCAGAGAGAGGAACAGAGUGACUACUGAUCCUGCUCAAAGAUUGUUCUUCCCAUACAAUACCUAUAAACAGACACUGGUAUUACUUUGCGUAGACAUUUUUAGUUUGUUUCAAAGUCAAGAAGUCGUUUUUGCAUGCUUUUGUCAACACGGUUGAAUCGAAAAGUGAGCGACAAUUAAGUAUAUCAAUAGGGAACUAAAAUUAAAUUGGGAUGGACAAAAUGAACGCAGCAAAUUAGGUAAAUGUUUAAAAAUGUGAGAAUGUUGGCGAAGUUUCGUCACGACUCAAAAUUAUUCCUUGAAUAAUACCACCAUGUUCACCAAAGAGUGAUAAAAACUGUUCGCAGGUGCUGCAGAUGAUAGCAUGACAAACAAACCGGAGAGGGAUAAAAACUGUUCGCAGGUGCUGCAGAUGAUAGCAUGACAAACAAACCGGAGAGGGAUAAAAACUGUUCGCAGGUGCUGCAGAUGAUAGCAUGACAAACAAACCGGAGAGGGAUAAAAAACGUUCAGACACUAAAGAAACAAUCAAACAGAAAGGAGGAGAAACAGUGCGCGAGAUACCAACGCAAACAUAAGUCAGAAAAGAGAACAUAGUAAAAUAAGCAAAAAUGACUAAAAGCAUAGGAUAAAAACGUCGCCCUAUAUAUCGGAAGUGACUGCAUCGCGAGACAAACGAUAAAUACUUAGGAACUCUUGUACUUUCAAACUGUCAAUGUAAGGUUAAGUUUAAGUUUAAGU